rnacentral:RNase_P_RNA from 1 species
GCGUUCAGGUAAUUGCUGCAUCAUUUGGAUGUUGAGGAAAGUCCAUGCCUCUAAUGGUCUGCGAUGACCGUAGUGUUCGUGCCUAGCGAAGUCAGUUAGGGUAGUUCGGUUUCGAGCUACCGGCAGGGGAACGCACCUAAAGCCUUCUAGAUGGUGUUACUACCUUGAAAGUGCCACAGUGACGGAGUCUAAGCUUGGAAAACGAGUAGAGUGGAACGCGGUAAACCCCACGAGCGAGAAACCUAAACUUUGGUAGGGGAACCUUCUAAGGGAAUUAAAACUAAGAGAAGAAGGACAAGGAGUUAGCUUCUUGUAGAUAGAUGAAUUACUUUAGUACGAGGUCAAUGGCA